GCCCCUGACGCUGCCCGUCGCCAGAUGCUCAGCCCCAGAGGAGUCGGGGAGGAUCCUGGCAGCCCAGCCCACGCUCGGCAAGGAGGCCUCGACGCGCUCAGGAGCCAGUCUGGCAUCUCUGCAGCGCAGCUGGUGGCCUGUCCUCUGCGCAAAGAGGCCGGCGAUACCUGGCUGGGCCAGAUCAAGAGCCGCUGAGGUCAGAGAGGUUGGAAGAGGAGAGCCGGGCUGGCCGAUGGGCGCAGCCCAUCAGGAGGAGUCUGGUAGCCCCUUUUCCGGCUGACCCGUGUGACUGAAAGGCAGAAGCCCCCCGCUUCAAGGUCCUCUGCUCAAGGCCAAGGGUUGGGCUGCAGGGUGCUUGGGACACCCUGGCAGACACCGAGGCAGGGAGGUUUAGGAGCGAAAAUCCAGCAGCCGGGAAGAACGUUGGAGGACGCUGAGAGAGACCCCAGCUGGCUAAUUUAAGGAAAGGGUGAUCCAGUGGCCGCGCUCAGCCCCCCGAACAACCAAGCAGGGUUGGAUCUCGUUGGUCCUUGGAUGGAAAACCGCUAGGCUGUCCCAGGCGGUGAGCUAGCCUGGAGUGGCCGAACCACCCCAGCGAACUGCCAAGAAAACGUCAUCGGUGUGUCCGAGUGGACACCGGGAGAUCAGCUGACUUCCAAGGAGUCUUCACCUUGAUCUUGGAAAGUGGGACGGGAUCUCGGGAUGCUGCAGGACCACUUGGAUGUCACGCUCUCUGAGCUGUUGGUGGCCCCGUGCAAGAACUUGAAGCUGCAGAGCCUGUCUGCUGCUGCCUCCAGGGACCCCCAGAGGAACCAGCCGCAGUCCCCGAAACUGCUCCUCUGGUUCAGAUCGCAGUGUGAACGUCCUUGGUGCUGAAGGCACUUCGCUUUUCACCAGCCGCCUUCUCCCGGGGUGGCUGCUCCCAGCCCAGCAUCGCUCGCCACUGCAGUAAAUCACCGUUCUUUGAUCAGCCGGCUUCUUUUCCUCUCCUCUCUCAGCAGCCUGUGGGGUUGGGCCAUGAGGCUAAUUUCAGAAGAGGGGGGUCUAAAAAGUCAAGAUGGUGGACACUCCACUCCUUCUUUACGCAUGUGUCACAUGAAUGACACACCAGAAAAAGGGCAGAGCUUCAAUCGUGUGGUCGUGGUGCCAUCCUGACUUUUUUG